AUCCGGAGGGUGCAAGCGUUAUUCGGAAUCACUGGGCGUAAAGGACGCGUAGGCGGGUUGGCAAGUCAGAUGUGAAAUCCUACAGCUUAACUGUAGAACUGCAUUUGAAACUGCUAACCUAGAGUAUGGGAGGGGGAGAUGGAAUUAGUGGUGUAGGGGUAAAAUCCGUAGAUAUCACUAGGAAUACCGAAAGCGAAGGCGAUCUCCUGGAACAUAACUGACGCUAAGGCGUGAAAGCGUGAGGAGCAAACAGGAUUAGAUACCCUAGUAGUCC
rnacentral:rRNA from 1 species